AUGAACGCUGGCGGCGUGCCUAAUCCAUGCAAGUCGCGCGAACAGACGAGGAGCUUGCUCCUCUGACGUUAGCGGCGGACGGGUGAGUAACACGUGGAUAACCUACCUAUAAGACUGGGAUAACUUCGGGAAACCGGAGCUAAUACCGGAUAAUAUAUUGAACCGCAUGGUUCAAUAGUGAAAGACGGUUUUGCUGUCACUUAUAGAUGGAUCCGCGCCGCAUUAGCUAGUUGGUAAGGUAACGGCUUACCAAGGCAACGAUGCGUAGCCGACCUGAGAGGGUGAUCGGCCACACUGGAACUGAGACACGGUCCAGACUCCUACGGGAGGCAGCAGUAGGGAAUCUUCCGCAAUGGGCGAAAGCCUGACGGAGCAACGCCGCGUGAGUGAUGAAGGUCUUCGGAUCGUAAAACGCUGUUAUUAGGGAAGAACAAAUGUGUAAGUAACGAUGCACGUCUUGACGGUACCUAAUCAGAAAGCCACGGCUAACUACGU
rnacentral:rRNA from 1 species